CGCGACGCAUUUCUCUCGACCACGUGAUAUUUUCAGAUCUAAUUUAGAUGAAAUUGGUGUCGCGCCAAUGUAAGUUAUCUGGAUGUCCUCCGGGUUUUUUUAUGUAAGCUCAGAUGAAAAUCCUUUGUGCUCGAAUGGGCCCUAAAUCUAACAAUCUUGCUCGUUUCGUAUAAAAGCACGAAGUUUCAGAUCAACUGCAUCCACUCUUUUGUGCUCUUCUCUUGUGAUACCUUCGCCAACCAACACCAACCCAAUCACCAUGAAAUUCCUCGUUGCUCUUCUCUUCGCGAUGGUCGCCAUCUCCGCCGUCGUAGGUAUGCAAUCCGAGGAACAGGUCCGUGACAAGCGGGCCAUCUACUACGGUGGAUACCCUUACGCCUACGCUCCGGCCGCCUACGGAGCUUACGGCUACGGUUACGCCCCAGCAGCCUACGGAAGCUACUACUGGUGAAAAUAACCCUCACACGUCGAAAGUUAUCUCCGUACGUCAUCGUUGAAAAAGAUGAAUGAUUUUGUUUUGAUCAAAUGCUCAAAUAAAGUCUAAUUUCUUGAUAACUGAACGAAUUGAUUCCAUUAUUUUAAUAAGAAUAAUUUUGAGAGAAAAUUUACUAAUUUUCAUCAAAAGUAAGAAAAAAAACGUAUUUCACCUCCAAAGUAUUGUAGCAAUAUUAUUAUUACGUUAAACAUCGUUGGGAAAAGGGCAGCAAGUUUUUCAUACGCUCAUGAAAAGCUGUUCGCAAGUUAUUUCGAUGAUGAUCUUCAAUGGACGUCGACUUUUGUUCUCAAGACCUUGCAACUCUUUUGAAAAUGAAUUCAGCAAUUGCAACGAGAAAGGCUUUUAAAAAAAAAAAAAAAAAUCAAAACUUUACAUGCAAAUGCACUUCAUAUGUCUCGCAAUGUAGAAAUGUUUAAGAGGAGUGACUCACACCGUGGCGUAGACCCAACAUUUCAGUCAAAAUAUCAAUCAAAAGACUAAUCAGCAAUAUUAACAGCACAGUUCAUAUUUACGGCUUCAAAGAUUCUUCUGUCGUAAGAAAGAAACUUCAUCAUGAGCACAGAUUACUCUGACGUUUAUGAACAGAGACAACUACAACCGUGACGAAAAUGAAACAAAAAUUAUAGAGACAGACUUUAUUCUUACCAGGGCUGAUUAUUGUUUUAUUGAUCUUUAUUGAAGUAUUUUUGGAGAGCAUGUGUAGCUUAUAUAACAUCCUGCAUUUGAGCAACCCCUCCUUACACGCACUCUUAGAAAC
rnacentral:lncRNA from 1 species